rnacentral:tRNA from 1 species
AGGAGAUUGGUGUAAAUGGAAGCACAGCGGCAACUAGAUGAUACCGUUUCUUAUCGCCGUGAGAUGGAGGUUCGAGUCCUCUAUCUCCUCCA